CAGAGAAUAGUUUAAAGAAAAUAUUAGUUUUGGGGACUGAAGAAGGGGUGUAUGCUUUUUCUCUGA
rnacentral:tRNA from 1 species